rnacentral:rRNA from 1 species
ACAGCAGCAGCCGCGGUAAUACGAAGGGUGCAAGCGUUAAUCGGAAUUACUGGGCGUAAAGCGUGCGUAGGCGGUUUGUUAAGUCUGUUGUGAAAUCCCCGGGCUCAACCUGGGAAUGGCAAUGGAUACUGGCAAGCUAGAGUGUGUCAGAGGAUGGUGGAAUUCCCGGUGUAGCGGUGAAAUGCGUAGAGAUCGGGAGGAACAUCAGUGGCGAAGGCGGCCAUCUGGGACAACACUGACGCUGAGGCACGAAAGCGUGGGGAGCAAACAGGAUUAGAUACCCCAGUAGUCCCUGUCUCUUAUAC